UUCCGGUUGAUCCUGCCGGAGGCUACCGCUAUUGGAGUCCGAUUAAGACAUGCGAGUCGAGAGCUUUCGGAGCUCGGCAUACUGCUCAGUAACACGUGGGUAACCUGCCCUAUGCUGGGGGAUAACCUCGGGAAACUGAGAACAAUACCCCAUAGUCCACUACGCCUGGAACGGUGAGUGGAUGAAAGCCCCGGCGGCAUAGGAUGGGCCUGCGGCGUAUCAGGUUGUAGGGGGUGUAACGUACCCUCUAGCCAUCGACGCGUACGGGUGUUGGGAGACAUAGCCCGGAGAUGGAUUCUGAGACACGAAUCCAGACCCUACGGGGUGCAGCAGGCGCGAAAACUUGGCAAUGCGAGAAAUCGUGACCAGGGAACUCCAAGUGGCUGGGGUAAGACCCAGUCUUUUCUUGACUCUUCAAAGGUCUUGGAAUAAGGGGUGGGUAAGGACGGUGCCAGCCGCCGCGGUAAUACCGGCGCCUCAAGUGGUAGUCGAUUUUAUUGGGCCUAAAACGUCCGUCGCCUGUUUGGUACAUUCGUGGGUAAAUCAACCAGCUCAACUGGUUGAAUUCUGCGAGCACGGCCAGACUUGGGACCGGGAGAGGUGUGGGGUACGCUCAGGGUAGGGGUAAAAUCCUGUCAUCCUGAGCGGACCACCUGUUGCGAAGGCUCCACACUAGAACGGAUCCGACGGUCAGGGACGAAGCCUAGGGGCACGAACCGGAUUAGAUACCCGGGUAGUCCUAGGUGUAAACGCUGUGGACUUGAUGUUGGGAGUGCUCCGAGCACCCUCAGUGUCGAAGCGAAGGUGAUAAGUCCACUGCCUGGGGAGUACGGUCGCAAGGCUGAAACUUAAAGGAAUUGGCGGGGGAGCACUGCAACCUGAGGAUUGUGCGGUUUAAUUGGAUUCAACGCCGGG
rnacentral:rRNA from 1 species